GGUUCGAUGGCGUAGUUGGUUAUCGCAUCUGUCUAACAUGAGUAAUCCUAUGAAACUUCGUUACACAGAAGGUCCCCGGUUCGAGCCCGGGUCGAAUCA